UACAGAGGUCUCAAGCGUUGUUCGGAUUCAUUGGGCGUAAAGGGUGCGUAGGCGGCGCGGUAAGUCGGGUGUGAAAUCUUGGAGCUUAACUCCGAAACUGCAUUCGAUACUGCCGUGCUUGAGGACUGGAGAGGAGACUGGAAUUCAUGGUGUAGCAGUGAAAUGCGUAGAGAUCAUGAGGAAGACCAGUGGCGAAGGCGGGUCUCUGGACAGUUCCUGACGCUGAGGCACGAAGGCCAGGGGAGCAAACGGG
rnacentral:rRNA from 1 species